GGUUGUGUGAAUUUAAUUCCCACCUCAUCUUCUCCUGUUUGAGUAGCCAGUAAUCCCUCAGUGAGCCUCACAGAGGACUCUGUUUGCUCUGUGCUGUAUCAAUGUUUAUUUCACUCCCAGCAGAGAAAACAAACCCGGGAAAUGGGAAUUUCACUCGGAGGAGAAACGCGGCAGUGCCCUGGCUCCCAAGCUGUGAAGGGCAGAGCUGCCUCCAGGUUUCAGCAGGCUAUCCUCCAACCAUCUUCCAUUCAUGCUCCGGACAUUGUUGGGAACGAGAGCUAAAUGGCCCCUAGCCUGUUUCAUAACGGAGAAACGAGCCUCUGUAAGAGGCCACAAAGCUGCAUUUUCUCCAUGUUGCUGAAACAAGAAAUCCAAAGGAAGCAACUACCAUCCAAGUACUGCAGCUAAUGGCCCACGGUAACAAGCAGUCCUAGUGGAAGAUGAACACAGGGAAAUGGGCGGAAAAUCAUAACUGAAAUGAAUGAGAUUGUUAUCCUAGGAUAACAAAAAAACAAAAUCUGAGAAGGACAUCUUUUCCCUUUUUCUUACGUGUUGGUGCUAAGGAUCUCAUUGCCAUGUGCUGAGAAAUUUAGAUUGCCCUUGCUUUCCCAGGAAGACUCAAGUGGUGAAUGACUUCCAGCAGCACCGUCGCUUUGCAGCCACCAGCAACGUCCUUCUGCCUGCCAAUGGCCAUGGCACCCAACUGGGUGCCCUCCUCGUCGGCCUCGUGCGCAGACAACACCUAAGGGCAGCGUGUUUGUUGGUGAUGAGCGAUUUUCACCUCUCAUCCUGCAACAUCCUCAAAGGAUGUCAGGUUUUUGGAAUCGAUGCCAUGGAAGAAGUCAAGUCGUACUGAGGUUCUUCAACAUGGCAACAAGAAAUUAAACCUUUCCACACAAAUAAGCUAAACAAAGCUCGGACCAGUUACAAAAUUCACCUUUCUCUUUGGAAUAAUUUACUCUUAAUACGCUCUUAGCCUGGAGAAACACAGGACCUCCUAGAGCUGUAGGAUUAUUUGUAUGGGAGCUGUAGUUAGGGGAAGAGAUUGAACAGUGAUGUCUAGAAUAAAAAGUUUGUGCUGUUUAAAAAAAUGUGCACAUUCACAUGUCCAGAUACUUUAACUGCAGAAGGCCACAUCACUGAGGAAGAGGGCAACUGUUAAGGCUGGUUUGCAUCUUACACGGAGUGGGGCUUUCAAGCUGCCACACUCAUGUUUGCGUCCUACCAAACUGUACCGUCACAUCCAGGCAUGCAAGAAAAUGUGAGUCACAUCCCUUCAAAAUUAGGAAAUGGGUUUUAAAAAGUACCCAUAAUAAAUAAAUAAAUAAAUAAAUAAAUAAAUAAAUAAAUAAAAAGUGUUGCUUUAUUUUUCUCUCUGUAUCUGUCAGAG